UUGUGCGGCCCUCUCGAUCUAGGUCAGUAACCAAUACCAGGAAAUAAAUCACAUAAAGGCAGAAAAAGUGUUCUUGACUUUGGCCGUGAAAUUGAAAGUCUGCACAAGUUGACAGCGGCUAACAUCUUGUGGUGCAGAUACAUUCCUGUUUGGUGCACAACCUCUCUACCUGGUCCACAAACAACUCUGUGAAACUUUAAGCACUUGAGUUUGACAAACUGCUGGUGUGAUGUCAGCCAUGGUAAACAUAACCUCUGCGCAACAUUUACCAGCAUCUACCACAGCACUGGCCCCUACCUCAGCAGGAUUGGGAUUGCGUUCAGACGAGAAGUGGCUGAUAGGAAUUUUGGUCCCUGUUGGUAUCUUUAUAAUUACAUGUAUAGGUGCGGUACUUCGAAAGUGUUGGAAAAAGUAUUGUUCACAAACAGACUUCCAACAGCUGCCACAGACAGAGCAACAUGUGCCAGGCUCUGGAAACACACCCAUCAACAACCCAACAGAUUGCACCUUCAAUAUCUAUCCAUCAAAAGGUGGUGCACAUACAUCACUCCAGCCUGGUCAAACAUCAGUUGACAUGCCAGAGAAUCAACCCAGUACAUCACAGCAACCAACCACAACGGGUGCUGUCUCACAGACACCAGGUAAUGGGAAUUACUAAAAAUGUGCUAAAACUCACAGACAAAAAAUACAUAGACCACCAGAUCCUAUUCAAAACUACAGGAAGAUUUUCUGAUCUGUUUUGCACCCGUCUAAAAUCAAAACUAUGGGCAAAUUCACCCCUCGAUGUAGGGAAUUUUAACACAGUCGAAAAAUUCCAACCACAACAUUCCAUGAAGCCGAUUUUAUUAAUUUAAUCUGGCCCAUGCAGAUUCUGAACGAUGCUUUGCAACAUUUGAAAAGAGGAGACAUCAGUUUCAAAGAGUACCAAAGUGAACAUGUCUUGAGAGCACAUGUAAACAACCCAAGCAAUAUAAAGUGCAUCGCACGUAAUGCGCACUGAACGCACUGCCAUCCAUCGCUUUGCCCAUUGUUUACCCGUACAUUUUGCAUUGUUUCCUGCGCAAGAAUAUGCAUGUAUAUGUCUGUGCUAAAACCUGAUGUGAAAAUAUCAUCUGAAGUUAGGCAGCAUUUCACUUUUAAAGUUGAAGUUUUUUGUAAUUCCAGUGAAAUUUCCCCAGACAUCUGUUAAUUAGUGUUACCCUAAAUUUUAAAUGUCGUGCGCAGUACUGUCUGAGAAGUUUUUAACACAGCAUUUAUGGUGUUUGGCAGCCUUUCACUUUUUAAACACUUCUAUGGUAAACAGCGUAAUUAUGCACAAAAGCCCAC